AUUGAACGCUGGCGGCAUGCCUUACACAUGCAAGUCGAACGGCAGCACGGGAGCAAUCCUGGUGGCGAGUGGCGAACGGGUGAGUAAUAUAUCGGAACGUGCCCAGUCGUGGGGGAUAACGUAGCGAAAGCUACGCUAAUACCGCAUACGAUCUAUGGAUGAAAGCGGGGGAUCGCAAGACCUCGCGCGAUUGGAGCGGCCGAUAUCAGAUUAGGUAGUUGGUGAGGUAAAGGCUCGCCAAGCCGACGAUCUGUAGCUGGUCUGAGAGGACGACCAGCCACACUGGGACUGAGACACGGCCCAGACUCCUACGGGAGGCAGCAGUGGGGAAUUUUGGACAAUGGGCGCAAGCCUGAUCCAGCAAUGCCGCGUGCAGGAUGAAGGCCUUCGGGUUGUAACGUAGUC
rnacentral:rRNA from 1 species